UAGGGAAUUUUCCACAAUGGACGAAAGUCUGAUGGAGCAACGCCGCGUGCAGGAUGAAGGCUCUAGGGUCGUAAACUGCUUUUAUAUGUGACGAAUAUGACGGUAGCAUAUGAAUAAGGAUCGGCUAACUCCGUGCCAGCAGCCGCGGUCAUACGGAGGAUCCAAGCGUUAUCCGGAAUUACUGGGCGUAAAGAGUUGCGUAGGUGGCAUUGUAAGUAGAUAGUGAAAGCGUUCGGCUCAACCGAAUAUC
rnacentral:rRNA from 1 species